GACUGGGGUCCGCCUGAGAGAAGAUGUAACGUAGAAAAACCCCCAGGUCACACUGUGAAACUUCAGCUUCAAGAAACUUAAGAGCUCUGUGUCCUGGAUAAGUCCUCCCCUAAGAUGCCACUCAGAAGACAAUCUACAGAGAUAAAGCAUAUAAAGUUGAGGUUCUACUUCAUUAAAACAGAUGCUGCUCAUGACCUUCAAUACUGAAACUAUGACUCCCCAAAAGAUGACAACCCACAGUUUGAAAAUACCACCUGUUUAACUCCUGACACCAGUGUUUUCCAGCAUGGGAAGUGGAACUAUAAGGAUUUUAAGUGAGAUGAUUUUUGUUGAGGGUCAAAAUGAUUUUAGGUGCU
rnacentral:lncRNA from 10 species